AUUGAACGCUGGCGGCAUGCCUUACACAUGCAAGUCGAACGGCAGCACGGGAGCAAUCCUGGGGGCGAGUGGCGAACGGGUGAGUAAAGUAUGGGAACGUGCCCAGGCGGGGGGGAUAACGUAGCGAAAGUUACGCUAAUACAGCAUACGAUCAAUGGAUGGAAGCGGGUGAUCGCAAGGCGUGGCGUGAUUGGAGCGGCCGGUACCGGAUUAGGUAGUUGGUGGGGUAAAGGGUCACCAAGCCUACGAUCUGUACCUGGUCUGAGAGGACGGCCAGCCACACGGGGACGGAGACACGGCCAAGACUCCUACGGCAGGCAGCAGUGGGGAAUUUUGGACAAUGGGCGAAAGCCUGAUGCAGCCAGGCCGCGUGCAGGAUGAAGGCCUUCGGGUUGUAAUCUGCUUUUGUACGGAACGAAAAGGUUUGGGCUAAGAAGCUGAGCUCAUGACGGUACCGUAAGAAUAAGCACCGGCUAACUACGUGCCAGCCGCCGCAGUAACAC
rnacentral:rRNA from 1 species